GGACCAAGGAGUCUAGCAUGUGCGCGAGUCAUUGGGACUAGCGAAACCUAAAGGCGUAAUGAAAGUGAAGGCAUGCCUUGCGCAGGCCGAGGGAGGAUGGGUCCUGCUACGGCACGGACCCCGCACUCCCGGGGCGUCUCGUUCUCAUUGCGAGUUGAGGCGCACCCAGAGCGUACACGCUGGGACCCGAAAGAUGGUGAACUAUGCCUGGUCAGGACGAAGUCAGGGGAAACCCUGAUGGAGGUCCGUAGCGAUUCUGACGUGCAAAUCGAUCGUCGGAACUGGGUAUAGGGGCGAAAGACUAAUCGAACCAUCUAGUAGCUGGUUCCCUCCGAAGUUUCCCUCAGGAUAGCUGGCGCUCGUGCGAGCGAGUUUCAUCCGGUAAAGCGAAUGAUUAGAGGCAUUGGGGUCGAAACGGCCUCAACCUAUUCUCAAACUUUAAAUGGGUGAGAUCUCCGGCUUGCUUAACUGUGAAGCCGCGAGACUUGAUCGAAUCAGAGUGCCAAGUGGGCCACUUUUGGUAAGCAGAACUGGCGCUGUGGGAUGAACCAAACGCCGAGUUAAAGCGCCUAAAUCGACGCUUAUGGGAUACCAUGAAAGGCGUUGGUAACUUAAGACAGCAGGACGGUGGCCAUGGAAGUCGGA
rnacentral:rRNA from 1 species